GCGAACUUGGCGGAAUGGUAGACGCAGGAGACUUAAAAUCUCCAGCCCGCAAGGGCGUGCGGGUUCGAGUCCCGCAGUUCGCA
rnacentral:tRNA from 2 species